rnacentral:snRNA from 1 species
UAAUGUGAGGGCAAUCUGGAUGUGACAUCUGUCACCCCACUGAUCACCAGGGUUGAUUCAACUGAUCUGGCUGGCUAGGUGGUGUCCCCUUCCUCCCUCACUUGUUUCUUGUGUGUCCCUCCUGGAGCUGCAUGCUCAGUCGAAGAGUAUGAACACUCCCUAUAGAGGAGGACAGUUCUUCAGUCAAGGGUAUACAAGUAGCUGUGCUCCCUGCUAGAACCUCCAAACAAUCUCUCAAGAAAUGCUUUGGUUUUAGAUUGUGACUGAUUUUAUCUCAGAAUUUUGAAUGAGCUGAAAAGCAAAAUGUCUCCAAAUAAUUGCUU